rnacentral:rRNA from 1 species
GCAUAUCAAUAAGCGGAGGAAAAGAAAAUAACAAUGAUUCCCUUAGUAACGGCGAGUGAAGGGGGAUAAGCUCAAAUUUUAAAUCUGCUAGGUUUUACUUAUCAGAGUUGUAAUUUGAAGAAGCGUUUUCCGCGUCUCGGUUGACCCAAAUCCUUUGGGAUAAGGUAUCAUGGAGGGUGAGAAUCCCGUUCGGUUGACCUUAUGACGCUUUACGAUACGUUUUCUAAGAGUCGAGUUGUUUGGGAUUGCAGCUCAAAAUGGGAGGUAAAUUUCUCCUAAGGCUAAAUAUUGGCGAGAGACCGAUAGCGAAUAAGUACCGUGAGGGAAAGAUGAAAAGAACUUUGAAAAGAGAGUUAAACAGUACGUGAAAUUGUUGAAAGGGAAACGAUUGAAGCCAGUCGUACCUUCGGGUAAUCAGCCUUUCGGGUGCGAUUCUGUGGAGCGUGAGGAGUUAAACGCCUUCAUGCCUGCAUAUUCGUGCACUUUGGGUGUACUUGCCCGUGUGGUAGGUUAACAUCAAUUUCGGAUAUCAUAAAAUGGCUGGAGGAAUGUAGCCUCGGUCUCGUACUGAAGUGUUAUAGCCUCUGGUAGAUGUGAUGACCGGGAUUGAGGAUUGCAACGAAUACCUUUUGGGCUACCCGCCUGAUCUCUGAAAGUUGCUCUGGUGCCGAAAGCUUGCUUACGGUCAUCAAAGUUGACGUUCAAAAGGUUAGAACGGGUUAAAUUCGUUAAGGAUGUUGACGUA